GGCGGCUGGAUGGCUGCGCUUUCCCGGGCGACCGGGAGGGUGAGGAAAGUCCGGGCUCCACGGAGACACGGUGCCGGCUAACGGCCGGCGGGGGCGACCCCAGGGAAAGUGCCACAGAGAACAGACCGCCGCGCCGGCCCGCCUUCGGGCGACAAGCCGGCAGGCAAGGGUGAAACGGUGGGGUAAGAGCCCACCGCGCGACCGGUAACGGAAGCGGCACGGCAAACCCCACCGGGAGCAAGACCAAAUAGGGGCGGCACGCCGGGCAACCGGCAGCGGCGUUUCCGCGUCGCCGCCCGGGUCGGUCGCGCGAGGCGCCCGGUGACGGGCGUCCCAGAGGAAUGGCCAUCCAUCGCCGCCCGGGGUUUCCUGGGAGGCGGGGACAGAACCCGGCUUACAGGCCGCCUG
rnacentral:RNase_P_RNA from 1 species